CAAUCGUCAAUGUACAUGUAGAAGCAUGUGUAAACAUGAUAUUAUAUCGGAAAGAUAGUCUUUAUAGUUUCAUAAUACACAAGUUACUCGAGAAAGCUAUGAUGGAAGGCAACACUGUCCCAGAGAGAGAGAAACAGCCGCUGUUACCAAAGAAACAACACCCCCAGGCAAGACCACAGGCUCCCCAGCUGUACCGCCAACAGGUGAGAGAGACUGUGCUGGUGACAAGAGAGCCUAUAGUUGGCGUGUACACAUACAGACAGCCUAACAUUCCCACUUGGAUUGGGUCCGAAUACGUUGUCUACGCCUCAGUGCUCACUAUGCUCUUUUGUGGCAUUCUGCCAGGAGUUGUGGCUCUGCUCUUAGCAUGGGAGGCUCGUAGCAAGAGGGAGACUGGACAAAUUGAAGAGGCCAGAUCAUGGACCGUGGGGGCCAUUCUCUGCAAUGCACUUGCUUUCACACUGGGUUUGUCUGCCAUUGUGUCUAUCUCUGUGUACUACGGCUUAAAAGGACAACACAUUCAAUGAUUUGUACCAUGCACACAUAAGUAUGCAACGUGCAACAAGGACUUAUUACUACAGAAUACAUACAUAUACUGUAUACUGUAUACAACGUAAUACAUACUAAAGUUGUGUACAGUGCAGUUGUUGCUUAUAGUGCAUGCCAAAGAUUUUCUAAACAAUUACAACUACA